UAUUUCUUUAAAUGCAAAAGUGUUUGCAGGCAGCAAAUAUUUUUGUGCAAAAGAAAUCUUAAAUAACAGCAUACACCAUGUUUCUUUCCACUGUCCUUCCUCUACAGAUAAUCUUCAUCAGUCACUAGAUGCAUGUUAUAAACAAGUUUGCUCACAAAUGCAAUGUCUGACAAAACAGAGACCCCAGUACAAUACAAAGCAGAUAAUGUUCACUUUUACUUUAUGCUGAGACCUCCUGCAAAAUAGCAAAUAUGUGAAAAAUAGCAUAGCUGGUUUGCACAGACAUCACUUUAACUACUUGAAUAUAUAAAUGAAGACUGCAAGAAGAUUGUGUACAGCUUUGAAUUCAUAUAUAAUACCAAAGACCUGUAACACUUCAUGUGAGCAAGCAUGAAGAAUUGCAUUUAAAAUACUACUUUGCGGACUUGACCUCCAUUUUCUCUGCUUUUUGGUUGAUGUUUCGCUCAAAUUCAAGUCUUCAUGAACCCUGUGAACACAAUUGUGACGUAUAUACUGGUAUCAGUGAGUGAGUCACUAAAAACAUCUGCUUAUGCCUUUUAAACCCAGAUUACACAGAUGAGAAUACAAACUGGGUAAAUCAUGAGCCUAGAAAUUAAAAACUGAUUUCAUGUUUCAAUUCUGCCUGUAAGAUAUAGGAAAAUUAAUUAGCUUCAUUAAUUUCUUUUAUCAACUUAAUUAAUUAGUCGACUUCAUUUUCCCUUGUUUUUCCUGUCUGUAAAACAGUGACCAUGCUGCUUCCUUUUUCUGCUUGAUUACCAUCAUUUGUCACCAUCUUAAUGGUUCAAAGCUAUUACAGCAGUAGAAAACAUGUAACAUUCUUUGAAUAAUGAACUUGUGAAAAUCCAAGGUAUCUGAGAAAAUAAACACUGACUAUAGAAGAGAACUGCUGAUUCCUUAAUCCCAGUUAUGGUAUAUAGGAGAAGAUCAACUCCAUCUUGAGAUUUAAGGUUCCAAGGAGUCAGCCCAUGGUUCGAGAUAACUACAACUGAGAAUUCAGGGGAUUUUUUUAAAUCUGAAAUAAUAUAUACCAUCUCUGCUUCCCAAAUCUUCUUCUUCCUGUUAGUAGCAGGUUGGAAUGCUCAAGGGGAAAUGAGAUAUAAUAAAAGGUUUAGUACUCCUGGUAUUCAGAUGACUUGAAAAGCUUGAAGUCCCAAGAAGUUGAUGCACACCUGUGACCCUGAUUACUUAUAUCAGCCAGUUUGGAAGCACUAUACAGGCUUAGAGGGAAAGAGAUAAAAGGACAGCAACAGCUAAUCUCUUUCUAAGGCCAGCUGCAUAGCCUGAGCUCUGUCCUUAACAUGGAAGAGAUGAUUUGAAGAAGAGAAGAAAUGGGAAAAAUGUCUCCAACCAGAAAAAUUGGUAACUUUCCAGAGAUAAACCCAGAUAUCUGGGACAUAAAGUCUGACAUUUCUUGUGAGAUUGGGAUACACAGAGGAACACUGCUGAAAUAGUGGUAUUAGGACAGCUGUCUGGAUCUUCCAGUCAUGGUCUAGCAGCUUGAAGAAACUGAGGUUGGUUUAUUUGACUGCUCAGAGUGCCUGCAAGACAGACCAUGGAUAAGUGCACUAAUCCUAAGAGGCAUUUCCUUCCUUGAAAAGUUAGGGAGAACUUGUUGAUAUAGGACAAAGCAGAAUUAUUUUUCAGAAGUCCCUGAACAGGCCUGCCUUGCAGCUCUCAGUACCAGACAUUGAUAUCAUUCAUAUUCACUGUCAGUGAAGAAAUUUUGACAUGUAUGUCUCUCUGAAUAUUCUUUCCAGCAGAAGUGUUUUCCAGAUUAUAUUAUUGAAGGCAGGGAGUGUGUGGAAGGAUAUAUCUUUGGUAACACUGUCUUGAGUUUUCUCAAGAAUAGCUGCAUUUGGACAUCAUGUAGGAUAGGAGAGAUAGAAUGGAAAUACUCGGUUUUUAAAAUUAUUAGAUUCAAGCCUAUAAGGCUCACCCAGAAUCCACAAUGACCUCUUAGAAGCUCCAAGAACUAUGGACACUCACCCUGGCUAGACAGUGAGGCUGCAUGUCCUUCACGAGCUCUCACAGAACACUUCCACAGAAGACGGCUCACCUCCUUUCAAAGUGAGGAGGACAACAAAGAAGACUGAGCUGACUCCUGCUGCAGCACAGAAGAUGGCAGUGCUUGAUGGAGUGCUAUUGAAUACAUGAGUGACAGCAGGUCAUCCCUGUGAGGAUAACAGUGACUCUGAGCCAUUGAGCAGACAACUGCAGUGACUUCAGAUUGUUGUGCCAUGAAUAAAAGAACUGGAUAGCUGUCCUGUGCUGCUGGAGAAACCUGUGUGACAACUUGCUCUGAAGGGAUGGAAGGUGUCAGGAUGCUAAGGAGGCUGUGAAGCUUAGGACUUGGAUGUAUUUUUUGGUCUUAAAAAUGUGGAGGGAAAGAUUUCUCCUGCCUAUCACAGAAAAUGUUUGUUUUUGAUAUUAUGGUCGAGUAAUUUAAGGCAGGAAAUGAGCAAGGUAAGGCAUCUAAAAGUGUGUGUAUUUUAGAGGAAGAGAAGACUGCUUUAAAGCUGUGCUGGGAGGAUUAAGGCCAAACGCCAGAGGUAAAACUCAAGGAUUGACCUUAAAGGGUGCUAAAGCACAAACAAUAGAUAAAGUGAAAGAUAAAAAAAGGUAGUGGCAAUAUAAGAUCAGCACAACCAAAAUUAGGCAUUUGAAGGUUAAUGGCUUCUGAUCAUUAUGCUUUUGUGCUCAAUAAACAUUUCCUUAAACAUUUGUAUAGUUUGUUUGUUUGUUUGUUUGUUUGUUUUUGGGUUUUGUUGUUGUUGUUUUUUGGUUUUGUUUUGUUUUUUGU